CCCAACCAGAAACCCCGCGACGAGCACCUUCG
rnacentral:scRNA from 1 species